AGCCUGGUUGGCAAUCAGGUGUUGAGUGUAAGUGCACAAGGGAGCUUGACUGUGAGACCGACGGGUCGAGCAGGGACGAAAGUCGGGACUAGUGAUCCGGCGGUGGCUUGUGGAAGCGCCGUCGCUCAACGGAUAAAAGGUACCCCGGGGAUAACAGGCUGAUCUUCCCCAAGAGUCCAUAUCGACGGGAUGGUUUGGCACCUCGAUGUCGGCUCGUCGCAUCCUGGGGCUGGAGUCGGUCCCAAGGGUUGGGCUGUUCGCCCAUUAAAGCGGUACGCGAGCUGGGUUUAGAACGUCGUGAGACAGUUCGGUCCCUAUCCGCUGUGCGCGUAGGAGUCUUGAGAAGGGCUGUCCCUAGUACGAGAGGACCGGGACGGACGAACCUCUGGUGUGCCAGUUGUUCUGCCAAGGGCAUGGCUGGUUGGCUACGUUCGGGAGGGAUAACCGCUGAAAGCAUCUAAGCGGGAAGCCUGCUUCGAGAUGAGGACUCCCACCCACUUGAUGGGGUAAGGCUCCCAGUAGACGACUGGGUUGAUAGGCCGGAUCUGGAAGCACCGUGAGGUGUGGAGGUGACCGGUACUAAUAGGCCGAGGGCUUGUCCUCAGUUG
rnacentral:rRNA from 1 species